GCCUAGCAACACGGCUCAUCACAAAACAAACCCGCCCGCAGCUCCCCAUGAAUGCGGUGGCCAAAUACGGUCUCUCUAUCGAUAGUUCAGCACUCUCAGUGCGAUCCCUCGUGCCAGCACCGGACCGUAUCGCCUUUGUCACCGCGACCUCUGACUCAAGGUGCAGUGCGUGUGGCUGACUCCUCCACGUGGUGAUGACAACUGGCGUCGCUCCGAGUCAGUUUAAGUAGCAGUGAUGCAGAUGAAGAUAUUCUCAACCAGCAGACGAGUGUGGGAACCACUGCUGCUCCAUACAGCAGAAUCCAGGAGGGUCUUUUGUUGCUUUCUUCAGUGUCUAGGAAGUCGUAGGUGCUAGUGAGACUCCAGAGUUACAGAAUCAUAUGUUCAGUAAUUAUAGACAGGGUAGUAGUCUAUAAUUAUCAGCCUGCAGUCCUCAGGUGCUCUCUAUGUAUAUGCAUUUUAAUGACAAAGUCAUAAUAAAUAUUUCUAUUCCUUGAA